GAUUCGAUUAUAAUACCGUAACGCGGCUGUGUAUUGCAAUAUCGCGUUGCGGACGCAACUGUGCGUGUGUGUGUGUGUGUGUGUGUGUGUGUGUGUGUAUAUGUAGGGAUCGAAAUUUCGAGAUUUUAGCGGAAGUGAAAAUUACCGGGAAAAAUCGGGGAUGUGUCUUUCCGGAAAAAAAUGUAUUUAUCGAGACCGUUUUCUCGUGUUGUUUUUGUCCGGAUAACCAUGCAUAAUAACAAUAGAAAUAAAACCGUUCGCCACGCAAUGUAUAAUGUGUGUGCGCAUAAUAAUAUGCAUAG